AUUGAACGCUGGCGGCAUGCCUUACACAUGCAAGUCGAACGGCAGCACGGGAGCAAUCCUGGUGGCGAGUGGCGAACGGGUGAGUAAUAUAUCGGAACGUGCCCAGUCGUGGGGAUAACGUAGCGAAAGCUACGCUAAUACCGCAUACGAUCUAUGGAUGAAAGCGGGGGAUCGCAAGACCUCGCGCGAUUGGAGCGGCCGAUAUCAGAUUAGGUAGUUGGUGAGGUAAAGGCUCACCAAGCCGACGAUCUGUAGCUGGUCUGAGAGGACGACCAGCCACACUGGACUGAGACACGGCCCAGACUCCUACGGAGGCAGCAGUGGGGAAUUUUGGACAAUGGGCGC
rnacentral:rRNA from 1 species